UGAGGAAGUAGCUAGUCUCGCUUUUCACCAAAUUAGAAAUAUUUGGAAAAAAAGAAAGAGAAGAGGAUAUUAGAAUUUAUGUGGGCGAGACUUAAGUAUUAUAAUUGCUGGAAGUCUUGCCACAUGUAAAUCUGGUGUCUCUCUUCUUUUCCUUUUUUUUUCUAGUUUUUAAGUCUACGAGGUUUUUACGACGAUUUCUAUUACGAGGUGUUUACGACGAAAUCAUCCUACGUGGAAUUAACGAGUGUCUCCUUCGUCAUUUACUUUACGUGGUAUUUACGUCAAUUUACCUUUCGAGGUCUUUACGACGAUUCCGUCCUACGUGGAAUUAACGGGUUUCGCUUUCUUUAUUUUUUUUUACUUUCGUCGUUAUUUCCACGUAAGCUAACGAGUUCUUUACGACGAUUUUGUCCUACGUGGAAUAAACGAGGAUUACGUCGUACAUUCGACGUCAAAUUACGAUGUGAAGUGAGAAACUUCUUCCGUCAAACUUCCAGCAAUUAUAGAACCUUCAACUUUGGCGAGGUUCUUUGCUUUUCCCUUCAAAUAUUUCAUGGCUCGCUCAUACUGAUACAUCCAUCCGUAAUGUACAGGUCCACGAAGCAAUGCUUCAUAUGGGAGGUAGACAGCUAGAUGCUCCA
rnacentral:lncRNA from 1 species